rnacentral:rRNA from 1 species
CUCAACCUGGGAAUUGCAUUUUGAACUGGCAUGCUAGAGUCCUGAAGAGGGUGGUAGAAUUUCCAGUGUAGCGGUGAAAUGCGUAGAUAUUGGAAGGAAUACCGGUGGCGAAGGCGGCCACCUGGUCAGAGACUGACGCUGAGGUACGAAAGCGUGGGGAGCAAACAGGAUUAGAUACCCUGGUAGUCCACGCCGUAAACGAUGUCAACUAGUUGUUCGUGUCAUUAAGACGUGAGUAACGCAGCUAACGCACUAAGUUGACCGCCUGGGGAGUACGGCCGCAAGGUUAAAACUCAAAUGAAUUGACGGGGGCCCGCACAAGCGGUGGAGCAUGUGGUUUAAUUCGAUGCAACGCGAAGAACCUUACCAUCCCUUGACAUCCAGUGAAUUUUCCAGAGAUGGAUUAGUGCCUUCGGGAACAC